AUUGAACGCUGGCGGCAGGCCUAACACAUGCAAGUCGAGCGAGCGGCGGACGGGUGAGUAAUGUCUGGGAAACUGCCUGAUGGAGGGGGAUAACUACUGGAAACGGUAGCUAAUACCGCAUACCAUCAGAUGUGCCCAGAUGGGAUUAGCUGGUGGGUGGGGUAACGGCUCACCUAGGCGACGAUCCCUAGCUGGUCUGAGAGGAUGACCAGCAACACGGGGACUGAGACAAGGUCCAGACUCCUACGGGAGGGAGCAGUGGGGAAUAUUGCACAAUGGGCGAAAGACGGAUGAAGCCAUGCCGCGGGUAUGAAGAAGGCCUUCGGGUUGUAAAGUACUUUCAGCGGGGAGGCGGUACCCGCAGAAGAAGCACCGGCUAACUCCGUGCCAGCAGCCGCGGUAAUUC
rnacentral:rRNA from 1 species